GCCCAUGUAGCUCAGGCGGUAGAGCACUUGCAUGGUAAGCAAGUGGUCGCCGGUUCGAGUCCGGCCGUGGGCU
rnacentral:tRNA from 1 species